rnacentral:lncRNA from 1 species
CUCCCCUCCUCCUCCUUUUUCUUCUCCAAUUGAGCAGUUCUGAAGAUCCUCUGCUGUGGGGAAUUGAAGGGGGACAGGACAAAGAAGUUUGCCCCAAGCAGGGCAACUGCUUUGGGGGUUGGUGGCGGGUGUUCUCGCCCCUGCAGUUAGAGCCACAGGGCAGCAGUGAUGGGCAGGAAGGAGAGCUCUCUCCUCGCUGUACUUCAAAGGCAGAUCUCUGUUCCCUAUGGCAACGUCCAACAACAAACCGACACCAUCUUUGGACGCAUUUCUCACAGGAGUUGAUGUAGCAUUACAUGUUCUGCUUGCUGCAUUUUUGGAGAAGUGCAUGCAGAUACUCAAGUGACUCACAGACAUGCAACAGCUCAGAAGGCCAUCCUGUUUGUCUUUCAGUGAGAAGGAAAAGAUCCAACUCCAUCAUACUCCUAAGAAAAAGCAUCUUCUGCUGAAGGCAUCAUGGGAGACCGGGAAGAGGAUCGGGAUGAAGCAAAACUCACGAAGCCCACUGUGAACACCUCAUGCCUUCCUUAAAAUCCCACUCAGAGGCCGCACCGCUCUGUCUCAUCACUGUCCCCGACCUGCAGGCUCAGAAUGGCCCCUCUGUGGCCCCCAACCCCAACCUAAUCCCGAGCAACUCAGCCCCAGCCCUCAGCAGCCUGCUCCACUCAGCCAGCAAAGCCAGUGGUUGGUGGGCCCUUGGAGGGCCCAACUCGUCGCAUGUGGCAACAGCCAAGGAACCAAUAAACAUCUGUUGAACAUCAGGCAAAUUUGAACCACCAUGGGACAUUAUCUUGUGUCAUGAACAGACCACAGUUGACUCUCGGUUCCAGCAAGUGGGAGCUGGGGGAGUGAAAAUCGGCACGCAGCUGUGGACAGCAACUGAUAACACAAGCGUCCUGAGUGCUCAAAACAGAGGCGAAUCCCUCUCAACCCAGUGACCCCACAUCUGGGACUCUUCAAGAGGAAUAACACCAAACACUGGAAACCAUUAGGUGCCUCCGCCCCUGAGGCAGAGCAAGGGGGCGAUGGGGCAUCGCCCUUCAUCUGGUGGCUGCCACAGAAGUGAUGGUGGGUGCCCAAUAGGCAGGGCCUAUUGAUCUGGUUUGUUUAUUUGAGACAGGGUCUCACUCUGUUUCCCAGGCUGGAGUGCAGUGGCACGAUCUUGGCUCACUGCAACCUCCACCUCCCAUGUGCGCCACCACACCUAUUUUUUUUUUUUUUUAGUAGAGAUGGGGGAUUUUGCCAUGGUGGUCAGGGUGAUCUCGAACUCCUGGCUUCAAAUGAUCUGCCCGCCUCUGCCUCCCAAAGUGCUAGAAUUACAGGUGUGAGCCACUGUGCCUGGCUUGAUGUUGUUGUUGUUUAGACGGAGUCUCCCUCUGUCACCCAGGCUGGAGUGCAGUGGUGUGAUCUUGGCUUACUGCAGCCUCCACCUCCUGGGUUCAAGUGAUUCUCCUGCCUCAGCCUCCCAAGUAGCUGGGAUUACAGAUGCCUGCCACCACGCCUGGCUAAUUUUUGUAUUUUUAAUAGAGACGGGGUUUCACCAUGCUGGCCAGGCUGGUCUCGAGCUCCUGACCCCAGUGAUCCGCCUGCGUCGGCCUCUCAAAGUGCUGAUCUAGUUUUUAAAUGGAUACAUAUUAGGUUUGUUCAAUGUCAAUUCCAAAUGCCAUAGAAACAUCUCUAGUCCUUUUUUAAAAACUCCACUUCGGAACCAGUGGAGAGAAAACGGCACGUGGCACUCACGGAGCAUGGUCUGUGUGCCAAGGUGGCUCUGGCCACGUCACUGCUGUUCCCAAAGGGCAGCUUUGGCUGAGCUGCUCGCAGUGGUGGAGUCCCCGGAAGAGCCAUGGGGACCGUGAUGGUCACCUCAGGCCCUGUGCUUCCCCUCGAUCACCUGCUCCAGCACACUGGCCUCCAGGAAGUCUUAGUGCACCCACGCUGAUUCGCUCCUCACAGCCCUGGCACCUGCUGUUCCCUCUGCCCAGAACACUCCUCCCCAGGUAUCUGUGUGCCUUCUCCCCUCUUCCUUCCAGUCAGAGCCAAGAGGGGUGAUUCUGGACAAAGAGUGCAUUUCCAAGAGGCCAGGGAGGGCAGUGGAGGAGGUACCCUGUGAAUGUAGACCUGAGAGAAGGGGGCAGACCCGCAGGACCAGUGGGGAGAGCGCCCAGGCGGAGGGAACAGCCUGGCCAGAGGCCCUGAAAUUGGUGAGCACUCCUCGAGGCCAGUGUGCCUGCAGCCUGUGCGCGGGGAGAGAGGCGCGAAGGAUAGACACCAGGGUGGGGUAGGGGUGUCGGGAGCCGGACAUCCAUGGCUUUUUGGGUCCUGACAGGACUUUGGUUUUACUCUGAGAGGGGGCGGCCACUGUAAAGUUUGAUUGACAGCUUGUAUUCUAUCAAAAGUAACCUUCUAGUUAAUCUCCACUUUCUUCCAGCCAAUAAAUAUCUGUUGAACUUCAGGCAAAUUCAUGAUAAACCCGUGAUAUUCACCCCCAAAUGGGCCCCUGGCCUGGCACAGUGGCUUCGUGCCUGGAGCAUGGAGGACACCAGAGGACAAGCCCCCAGCUCUUCUUGCCAAGAGGCCCCCCAAAAAAUAAUGGUGAUGAGCUCCCUAGGAAAAAUGAACCCAUGAGGAAUCACUAGAGCAAGAGAAUUCUCCACCAGAAAUCGAAAAAGCAGAACUCAACUCAUGACUAACCAUAUGCUCUUAGGAAGGCACUUCUGUACCUCCUGACCCAGGGUUUCCCCUUUUGUACAGCGGAAAUAAGUUAGCCUGCCCUACCCCAAGGGAGCUUCGAGAAGACAGCCAGUGCUGGUGAGGACAACGAGGCCAACGUGUCCUGGGGGGUGCCAUGAUAAUCCAGAAGAAAGGCACAGGGCGGUCUUUUGGAAGCUGUCACUGUAAUACUGUGGAAGGAUCAGCCCGUCUUUCCUCAGUAUGUGAAAGGUGGUUUAACUCUGGGCUCCAUGAUCAGUUGCCAUGGGUAAAAAUGAUAUCUACCCCCACAUAAUUAAAAUAACACUGGGGGCCAGGCACGGUGGCUCACGCCUGUAGUCCCAGCACUUUGGGAGGGCGAGGCGGGCGGAUCACUUGAGGUCAGGAGUUUGAGACCAGCCUGGCCAACAUGGUGAAACCCAGUGUCUACUAAAAAUACAAACAUUAAACAGGCGUGUUGACGCACACCUGUAGUCCCAGCUAUUUGGGAGGCUGAGGCAGGAAAAUCGCUUGGACCCAGGAGGCAGAGGUUGCAGUGAGCCCAGAUUGCACCACUACACUCCAGCCUGGGCGACAGAGCGAGACUCUGUCUCUAAAGCAGUCAAUCAGUCAAUAAAAAUGAUCAUGGGUCAACUCACUUGCGCUCCUGAACUGUCCUGAGCAGAGAAUGCCAGGCCUCCUCUCGCCACCCAGUUCUCUGCCAGAGGCUUUGGUCCUCCUGGCUGGUUCCCUCUCCCCAGGGCUGCCCACAGCCUGGAGAGGGUGGAGACCAUGCUCACUCUCCAUGGUAGGAAGCCCUGGGCAGCCCUCAGAACAUUCAACUAAGUGAAUGAAUGAAUGAGUGAAUGAGUAAGUGGGCCAUCCACCCCAAGUCUCAUCUGUCCCAUCCAUACGCCUCCAGUUUCACUGUGUCAUGCUUCAUAAUAAGUAACUGCCCACACAGGACUGUGGCCCGGGGCUGGGCUCAGAGCUGAGGCUGGCUCUGGCAUGUCCACACUGGAGAAGCUUAUGGUAGGGCCAUCUGUCUGGAAGAGUUGGAGGAACCUGUCUUGAAUUCUCAUUGCCAUAAUAAGCAAGAUUCCUUUAUUUAAUAUGUGAAUUUGAAGUGCAUUUGCGGGGCUGAAAAUUGGAGUCUGGCCAAGGGCCAUGGCUCAUGCCUAUAAUCCCAGCACUUUGGGAAGCUGAGGCAGGAGGAGCGCUUGAGUCCAAGAGUUCGAGAUUAGCCUGGGCAAUAUAAUGAGACUGUCUUUACAAAAUAUCAAAAAUAAAUAAAUAGCUGGACAUGGUGGUGUCUGCCUGUAGUCCCAGCUACUUGGGAAGCCAAGGUGGG